GCCUAAAGCGUCCGUAGCCGGCUUUGUAAGUUUUCGGUUAAAUCUAUAUGCUCAACAUAUAGGCUGCCGGGAAUACUGCAAAGCUAGGGAGUGGGAGAGGUAGACGGUACUCCGUAGGAAGGGGUAAAAUCCUUUGAUCUAUGGAUGACCACCUGUGGCGAAGGCGGUCUACCAGAACACGUUCGACGGUGAGGGAUGAAAGCUGGGGGAGCAAACCGGAUUAGAUACCCGGGUAGUCCCAGCUGUAAACUAUGCAAACUCAGUGAUGCAUUGGCUUGUGGCCAGUGCAGUGCCGCAGGGAAGCCGUUAAGUUUGCCGCCUGGGAAGUACGUACGCAAGUAUGAAACUUAAAGGAAUUGGCGGGGGAGCACCACAAGGGGUGAAGCCUGCGGUUCAAUUGGAGUCAACGCCAGAAAUCUUACCCGGAGAGACAGCAGGAUGAAGGUCAAGAUGAAGACUUUACCAGACAAGCUGAGAAGUGGUGCAUGGCCGUCGCCAGCUCGUGCCGUGAGGUGUCCUGUUAAGUCAGGUAACGAGCGAGAUCCUUGCCUCUAGUUGCCACCAUUACUCUCAGGAGUAGUGGGGCGAAUUAGCGGAACUGCCGUAGUUAAUACGGAGGAAGGAGAGGGCCACGGCAGGUCAGUAUGCCCCGAA
rnacentral:rRNA from 1 species